rnacentral:tRNA from 1 species
AUCUCAGUAGCGUGAUGGUUAACGCACCGCCCUAGUUAUGCGCGAGACGCGGGUUCGAAUCCCGCCUGAGAUG